AGCAGCCGCGGUAAUUCCAGCUCCAAUAGCGUAUAUUAAAGUUGCUGCAGUUAAAAAGCUCGUAGUUGAAUUUCGGGACCGAUAUAACGGUCGUGCCUCGGUACGUACUGGUAUUUUCGGUUUCUCCCUUCUGACGAACCUUGAUGUCAUUAAUUUGGUGUCUUGGGGAAUCAGGACUGUUACUUUGAAAAAAUUAGAGUGUUUAAAGACAGGCUCAACGCUUGAAUACAUUAGCAUGGAAUAAUGAAGUAGGACGUUUGAUUCUAUUUUGUUGGUUCUAGGAUCGACGUAAUGAUUAAUAGGGAUAGUUGGGGGCAUUAGUAUUCAAUUGUCAGAGGUGAAAUUCUUGGAUUUAUUGAAGACUAACUACUGCGAAAGCAUUUGCCAAGGAUGUUUUCAUUAAUCAAGAACGAAAUUAGGGGAUCGAAGACGAUCAGAUACCGUCGUAGUCUUAACCAUAAACUAUGCGACUAGGGAUCGGAUGAUGUUAAUUUUUAAUUAGACUCAAUUCGGGUCGCCU
rnacentral:rRNA from 1 species